UAUGGCGGGGCCUCCCGUCGGGGGCGAGACGUGCUGGGUGGACUGCAUGCAGUGCUCACUGUCACGUCGGACCUGCGGUCGGUGAGCGUCACUUGUGCACCAGUGCUGCUGGUAUUGGGACGGCCUCGUCCGACCCGUCUUGAAACACGGACCAAGGAGUGCAACAUGUGCGCGAGCCCUUUGGCGAGCAAACCAGAAGGCGCAAUGAAAGUGAAGGCACGGAUUGCCGUGCUGAGGUGAGAGCCGUCCUUGACGGGGUGGCGCAUCAUUGACCGAUCCCAUCCGCGCUGUCCGCAGUGUGGCGGGAUUCGAGUGAGAGUGUACCUGUUGCGACCCGAAAGAUGGUGAACUAUGCCUGAAUAGGGUGAAGCCAGAGGAAACUCUGGUGGAGGCCCGUAGCGAUUCUGACGUGCAAAUCGAUCGUCAAAUUUGGGUAUAGGGGCGAAAGACUAAUCGAACC
rnacentral:rRNA from 1 species